UUUGUUUCGAUAGCAUUAAUUUCUGCUGUAAUCCUUAUUAUUUCCUCUCUUCUGCUGAUUUGGGGUUUUAUUUGCUGUUCUUUUUCCAGCUCCUUAAGGCAUAAGGUUAAGUUGUGUAUCUGAGGUCUCUCUUCCUUCUUUAGGAAGGCCUGGAUUGCUAUCUAUUUUCCUCUUAUAGCCACCUUUGCUGCGUCCCAGAGGUUUUGGGUUGUGGUGUUAUCCCUUUCAUUGACUUCCAUAUAGUUUUCAAUUUCCUCUUUCACUGCUUGGUUGGCCCAUUCAUUCUUUAGUAGGAUGUUCUUCAGUCUCCAAGUAUGUGUUACCUUUCCCAAUUGUUUCCUGUGGUUGAUUUCGAGUUUCAUAGUGUUGUGGUCUGAAAAUAUGCACGGUAUGAUCUCGAUCUUUUUGUACUCACUUAGGGCUGAUUUAUGUCCCAGUAUAUGGUCUAUUCUGGAGAACGUUCCGUGUGCACUGGAGAAGGAUGUAUAUUCUGCUGGUUUAGGAUGAAAUGUUCUGAAUAUAUCUGUUAAGUCCAUCUGGUCCAGUGUGUCAUUCAAAGCCAUUGUUUCCUUGUUGAUUGUUUUGAUUAGAUGAUCUGUCCAUUGCUGUGAGUGGGGUGUUGAAGUCUCCUACUAUUAUGGUAUUACUAUCGAUGAGUUUCUUUAUGCUUGUGAUUAAUGGAUUUACAUAUUUGGGUGCUGUCACAUUUGGCGCAUAAAUGUUUACAAUUGUUAGGUCUUCUUGGUGGAUAGACCCCUUGAUUAUGCCAUAAUGCCCUUCUGCAUCUCUUGAUACAGUCUUUAUUUUAAAGUCUAGAUUGUCUGAUAUAAGUAUGGCUACUCUAGCUUUCUUUUGUUGACCAUUAGCAUGAUAGAUGGUUCUCCAUCCCCUUAUUUUCAGGCUGAAGGUGUCUAUAGACACUUCUAACUGGGUCUCCUGUAAACAGCAUAUAGAUGGACCUUGUUUUCUUAUCCAUUCUGUUACCCUAUGCCUUUUGAUUGGAGCAUUGAGUCCAUUGACGUUUAGAGUGAGUACUGAAAGAUAUGAAUUUAUUGCCAUUAUGAUGCUUGUAGACGUGGAGUUUCUGGUGGUGUUCUCUGGUCCUUUCUAAUCUUUGUUGCUUUUGGUAUAUAUAUAUGUAUAUUUAUAUAUAUAUAUAUAUAUAUAUAUAUACAUAUACACACACACACAUAUAUAUGUAUACACACAUAUAUACACAUAUAUAUGUAUAUGUAUAUAUGUGUGUAUAUGUAUAUAUAUGUAUGUAUGUAUGUAUAUGUAAUUUUUUUCAUCUUUUCUUGCCUCAGAAAGUCCCCCUUAAAAAUUCUUGCAGGGCUGGUUUAGUGGUCACAAAUUCCUUUAAUUUUUGUUUGUCUGGGAAACUUUUUCUCUCUCCUAUUUUGAGUGACAGCCUUGCUGGAUAAAGAAUUCUUGGCUGCAUUUAUUUUUUAUUUUAAUUGUUUAAUGUUUAUUUAUUUUUGACAGAGAGAGAGAGAGAGACAGAGACAGAGCAUGAGCAGAGGAGCGGCAGAGAGAGAGGGAGACACAGAAUCCGAAGCAGGCUCCAGGCUCUGAGCUGUCAGCACAGAGCCCGACGAGGGUCUCAAACUCACAGACCGCGAGAUCAUGACCAGAGCCGAAAUCGGACGCCCAACUGACUUAGCCACCCAGGCUCCCCCACAUAUUUUUCUGAUUCAGCACACUGAAUAUAUCCCGCCACUGCUUUCUGGCCUGCCAAGUUUUUGUGGGUGACAUUACAAGAUGAGGACACAGUCCACCCUGAACAAUCAUAAACUAUAAACUGAAAAAUCAAACAGGCAUUUCCAAACAUUUCUGAACAGGACCUUCCUUGAUAUGCAGAUGACUGACUCUUAAAUACAUAUAAAAUGAAGAAAGUGGAACUGUCAUACUGGUAUGUGGAAAUUCUACUGGCAAAAAAUUGAGUGAUAA